AUUGAACGCUAGCGGGAUGCCUUACACAUGCAAGUCGAACGGAGUGGCGAACGGGUGAGUAAUGUAUCGGAACGUGCACAGUCGCGGGGGAUAACUACGCGAAAGCGUAGCUAAUACCGCUAACUCUUGGAGAGGCCGAUACCGGAUUAGAUAGUUGGUGGGGUAACGGCACAUCAAGGCGACGAUCCGUAGCUGGUUUGAGAGGACGACCAGCCACACUGGGACUGAGACACGGCCCAGACGCCUACGGGAGGCAGCAGUGGGGAAUUUUGGACAAUGGGGGAAACCCUGAUCCAGCCAUCCCGCGUGUGCGAUGAAGGCCUUCGGGUUGUAAAGCACUUUUGGCAGGAAAGCGGUACCUGCAGAAUAAGCACCGGCUAACUACGUGCCAGCAGCCGCGGUAAUUC
rnacentral:rRNA from 1 species